ncrna:unclassified sequences NiCo riboswitch
ACAGUACAAACUGAGCAGACCGGGAUUAUAUGAUAUCUUAUGCCUGUUAUGUGAACAUAAGAUUAAAUCACAUGAUAAUAUAAAAGUAUAAUCCAGGAGUCGGGUCACACGCGUGACAGUGGAAUCUUUUCUAUCCACGGGACAGUA